rnacentral:rRNA from 1 species
AUGACGAAAGGCAUGAUGGCGGCGUGCGCCGCGGUGGGCGUCCUCGGCCUCAUCACUGUCAUCUUGGGCAUCGCCGGCGCGGCCUCGACAUCGUGCGACGCCUCACCGGCGGUGGGCUGCGGGUUCGUGGCGUCGCUGCUGGCGCUGACGACGCAGAUCGUGGCCACCGCCGCCACCGGCUGCUGCGGCUGCUGCCGGACGUGGGGCAUCCCCAACGAGGCCAAGCGCAUCGUCGCCGUCGUCCUGUCCACCGUCUCAUGGGUCCUCGCCAUCAUAGUGGUGAUACUGUUCAUGGUGGGCGCCAUCCUCAGCAUGGGCGGUGGCCUGCCGACGUACAACGACGGGAAGUGCGUCUCGCCGGGCACCGGACCGUUCGUGGCGGCCACAAUCAUGUUCUUCAUAUCGAUGGUCUGUCAGAUCGCCUCGUACACCCUACUGCAGGCCACAUCGGUUGCAGGCUCUACGAAGUCGCCGCUCGCGCAGGAGUCGGGGAUCGCCAUGGGACAGCCGGCGGCGGCGGUGCCGGUGCCUGCGAGUAAUGCUGAACAGAAGGCAGCUGCCGCCGGUGACCUUCCUCCCUUGGCGCCUACCGCAGCUGCCGCCAGUGAACUUCCUCCUUCGGCGCCUGCUGCAGCUGCCGCCGGUGACCUUCCUCCUCCGGUGUCUACUGCGUCGUCAGAAGCCAAUGUUGACCCUCCUCCUCCUUCGGCGCCUGCCAUGUCGCCCAAGGCGUUGCGAGAU